rnacentral:rRNA from 1 species
GGGGGGCCGGGGGGGUUUUUUCCCUUUGGUUCGGGGGGGGGGGGGGGGAAACCCGGGGGAACCCCCCUUAAGACUGGGAAAAUUCCGGAAACCGGGGUUAAUCCCGGAUGCUUGAUUGACCGCCAGGUUCAAUCAUAAAAGGUGCUUUUAGCUACCCUUUACAGAUGGACCCGCGGCGCAUUAGCUAGUUGGUGAGGUAACGGCUCACCAAGGCGACGAUGCGUAGCCGACCUGAGAGGGUGAUCGGCCACACUGGGACUGAGACACGGCCCAGACUCCUACGGGAGGCAGCAGUAGGGAAUCUUCCGCAAUGGACGAAAGUCUGACGGAGCAACGCCGCGUGAGUGAUGAAGGUUUUCGGAUCGUAAAACUCUGUUGUUAGGGAAGAACAAGUACCGUUCGAAUAGGGCGGUACCUUGACGGUACCUAACCAGAAAGCCACGGCUAACUACGUGCCAGCAGCCGCGGUAAUACGUAGGUGGCAAGCGUUGUCCGGAAUUAUUGGGCGUAAAGCGCGCGCAGGCGGUUUCUUAAGUCUGAUGUGAAAGCCCCCGGCUCAACCGGGGAGGGUCAUUGGAAACUGGGGAACUUGAGUGCAGAAGAGGAGAGUGGAAUUCCACGUGUAGCGGUGAAAUGCGUAGAGAUGUGGAGGAACACCAGUGGCGAAGGCGACUCUCUGGUCUGUAACUGACGCUGAGGCGCGAAAGCGUGGGGAGCGAACAGGAUUAGAUACCCUGGUAGUCCACGCCGUAAACGAUGAGUGCUAAGUGUUAGAGGGUUUCCGCCCUUUAGUGCUGCAGCAAACGCAUUAAGCACUCCGCCUGGGGAGUACGGUCGCAAGACUGAAACUCAAAGGAAUUGACGGGGGCCCGCACAAGCGGUGGAGCAUGUGGUUUAAUUCGAAGCAACGCGAAGAACCUUACCAGGUCUUGACAUCCUCUGACAACCCUAGAGAUAGGGCUUCCCCUUCGGGGGCAGAGUGACAGGUGGUGCAUGGUUGUCGUCAGCUCGUGUCGUGAGAUGUUGGGUUAAGUCCCGCAACGAGCGCAACCCUUGAUCUUAGUUGCCAGCAUUCAGUUGGGCACUCUAAGGUGACUGCCGGUGACAAACCGGAGGAAGGUGGGGAUGACGUCAAAUCAUCAUGCCCCUUAUGACCUGGGCUACACACGUGCUACAAUGGGCAGAACAAAGGGCAGCGAAGCCGCGAGGCUAAGCCAAUCCCACAAAUCUGUUCUCAGUUCGGAUCGCAGUCUGCAACUCGACUGCGUGAAGCUGGAAUCGCUAGUAAUCGCGGAUCAGCAUUUGAUUUUCCCCCCCCC